CCUCCGUAGGGUGGGACUGCGGAAGGAUCAUAACGAACCAUUCUUCUCUGUUCUACGUUCCGAGGCCCUGAGCACUCCUUCUUACGCCCUUUGAUCAAUCUUCAGCGAUGGAUCUCUGGGCUCCCACCUCGAUGAAGAACGCAGCGAAAUGCGAUACGCAGUGCGAAUUGCAGAACCGCGAGUCAUCUGAUUUUCGAACGCAAUGCGCCAGCAAUGGCAUGUUCCGCUCAGCGUGCGCGAUAUCGCACGGAUGUGACUGAGCCUCUUUCACGGAGUCCGGAGGGAUGAGCCCCGAGCGGUGAGUCCUUGGGCGGGCACCUGAGCGGAGCAAGAUUACCCGCUGAACUUAAGCAUAUCAGUAAGCGGAGGAAAAGAAACUAACUAGGAUUGUCUCAGUAGCGGCGAGUGAAGAGACAAGAGCCCAGGAUGCGAAUCUGCGGAAUUGUAAUCUCGGAAGCACUUCGGCAGUCGGACAGUCUUCCAACUACUCUGGAAAGGUAGGCCUCAGAAGGUGACAGCCCUGUAGGAACGACUGACUGACGACGAAGGCGUGGAGAGUCGGGUUGUUUGGGAAUGCAGCCCUAAGUGGGAGAUAGACAUCUUCUAAGGCUAAAUACCGGUGGGAGACCGAUAGCGCACAAGUACUGCGAAGGAAAGAUGAAAAGAACUUUGGAAAGAGAGUUAAAAGACGUGAAAUCGCUGAAGCGGAACUGAUCGCAGCCCGUACAAGGCCUUGUUUUCGUCCUGCCCAGAAAGCCCACGGAACUCAAAUUCCCAGGCCCAAUGGGCGGAGGCAAGCAAGGUUGGCCCCGGCAUCAGUUCCUGCUCCGGUAGUCAAGCUUGGUAAGUUAGGCCGGGCCGGGACCGGGGUGGGGACUGAGGAAGAUGCGGGGGAAGCGACUGUGAUCGACCCGUCUUUGAAACACACU
rnacentral:rRNA from 1 species